rfam:Felis catus isolate Cinnamon breed Abyssinian chromosome B1, whole genome shotgun sequence.
GCCUGGGUGGCUCAGUCGGUUGAGCGUCUGACUUCAGCUCAGGUCUUGAUCUCACAGUUUGUGAGUUCAAGCCCCACGUCAGGCU